GACGAACGCUGGCGGCGUGCCUAAUACAUGCAAGUUGAGCGAUGAAGAUUGGUGCUUGCACCAAUUUGAAGAGCAGCGAACGGGUGAGUAACGCGUGGGGAAUCUGCCUUUGAGCGGGGGACAACAUUUGGAAACGAAUGCUAAUACCGCAUAACAACUUUAAACAUAAGUUUUAAGUUUGAAAGAUGCAAUUGCAUCACUCAAAGAUGAUCCCGCGUUGUAUUAGCUAGUUGGUGAGGUAAAGGCUCACCAAGGCGAUGAUACAUAGCCGACCUGAGAGGGUGAUCGGCCACAUUGGGACUGAGACACGGCCCAAACUCCUACGGGAGGCAGCAGUAGGGAAUCGUCGGCAAUGGACGAAAGUCUGACCGAGAAACGCCGCGUGAGUGAAGAAGGUUUUCGGAUCGUAAAACUCUGUUGGUAGAGAAGAACGUUGGUGAGAGUGGAAAGCUCAUCAAGUGACGGUAACUACCCAGAAAGGGACGGCUAACUACGUG
rnacentral:rRNA from 1 species